UACGGAGGGUGCAAGCGUUAUCCGGAUUCACUGGGUUUAAAGGGCGCGUAGGUGGGUUGGUAAGUCAGUGGUGAAAUCUCCGAGCUUAACUUGGAAACUGCCAUUGAUACUAUCAGUCUUGAAUACCGUGGAGGUCAGCGGAAUAUGUCAUGUAGCGGUGAAAUGCUUAGAUAUGACAUAGAACACCCAUUGCGAAGGCAGCUGACUACGCGGAGAUUGACACUGAGGCGCGAAAGCGUGGGGAGCAAACAGG
rnacentral:rRNA from 1 species